rnacentral:piRNA from 1 species
UCCGAGUACAAGGACAGCGCCUGGAU